GGGCGGGUGGCGGAACUGGCAGACGCGUACGUCUCAGAAGCGUAUGACCUAACGGUCUUAAGGGUUCAAGUCCCUUUCCGCCCA
rnacentral:tRNA from 1 species